rnacentral:lncRNA from 10 species
GCGGGGCCAAGCCCACCCCGCGCCGACCGGCCCCGGUGCGCCCAGCGGAGCGGAGCGGAGCGCGCGGAGGGAGGAGUUUUCCCAGAAUGGGACUGACGGGAAAACACGGGGAUCCCUAUUCCUGGAGGAAUCCAGCCUGGUGCCUGGGAUAGGGAAGUGCAUGAUAAAUGCUGCAUAAAUGAAAAACAAUUGCUACCGUGGAAGAUAUUGAAAGGAAAGUGCUAUCGAUGCCAAAGUUGUUUCCAAGAGAGGUAUUCCAAAAGUGUUUCAAGCAAUGACUGAGCUAAGCAUCCAGUCCUGCAAGGUGAAGGCGUUGAAGACGCAGCCCUCAUUUGAAUAGAUGAAUUGUGGUAUUCUUGUUAAAUAAUGAAUCAUAUCAAGGCUUGGUCACACCUCAUGCACAUGAAAAGACCAAAACGCAAGGCAGCAUAUCAGCGCCACGUGAAGUACACACUAAGCACCAACUAUUUAAUUCAGCAAUCAUGGGGGGCCCGGUGGCUCACGCCUGUCAUCUUAGCAAUUUGGGAGGCCGAGGCAGGUGGAUCGCUUGAGCCCAGGAGUUCGAGAUCAGCCUGGGCAUCAUGGUGGCCUGCACCUGUAGUCCCAGCUACUCAGGAGGCUGAGGUGGGAGGAUAGUUUGACCCCAGAAAGUUGAGGCUGCAGUGAGCCGUGAAUGCACCACUACACACCAGCCUGGAUGACAGAGCGAAACCCUGUCUCAAAGUAAUUAAUAAUAAUUAUAUUAAUUCAGCAAUCAUUGGAGUGUUUGUUGACUUUGACACCGCACUAAGGGAAGGAGUAGGUCCCUUUCCUCAAGUAGUUCCAGUCUAGGUGAGAAGACAGACAAUUAUGCAAAGUUCAAUGGGAACCCAAGGGAAGGAACAGUGAAAUCCAAUUACAGUGCAUUUGAUCUAGCUCUUGAGGAUAAAUGAGGGUUUGCCAAACUGAGACUGGAAACCCCAUUUAAGACACAUGGAAUAGCACCUACAAAGGUGAGGCAGCCAGUCUGCUGGUGUGUUUAGCGAAGCUAUGUAAACUGGUGUGGCUGGAGAAUAGAGAUGUGGAUAAUAAGAUUGAAGGAAGUGGAUACCAGACUUUGAAGGUCAUUGCGUGCCAUGCUGAAGAGUUAGGCAUCAAAAAAGACACAAGUGUGACUUAAUCAGCAGCACCAUCAAGAAGACCGUCUUGCAACAGUCUUGCAGUUGAACUGGAGACUCGGGGUGCCCUAAAACUCAAGCAGUGGUCCUGAGGUUGAGGAGGAGGGGAAGGAGCUAGGAAACGGUUCAGAUCAUUUGGCUGUGUAGUGAGAGAGAAAACAAAAAUCGCUAACCUUUAACAGCUGAACAAUGGUUGGUGUCAGUAAGUGAGAUAAGAAUUCAGGGCUGGGCACAGUGGCUCAUACCUGUAAUCCCAGCACUUUGGGAGGCUGAGGUGGGUGGAUCACGAGGUCAGGAGUUCCAGACCAGCCUGACCAACAUGGAGAAACCCCAUCUCUACUAAAAAUACAAUAUUAGCUGGGCGUGGUGGUGCAUGCCUGUAAUCCCAGCUACUCGGGAGGCUGAGGCAGGAGAAUCACUUGAACCCAGGAGGUGGAGGUUGCAGUGAGCUGAGAUCACGACAUUGCACUGCAGCCUGGGCAAAAAGAAUGAAACUCCGUCUCAAAAAAAAAAAAAAGAAAGAAAGAAAUUCAAGCAAAAGGGGAGUGGGGUGAGGUCGGAGGGGAAUCCAGCCAGGUUCAGGGGACGGAGAGGAAAGCAGGACAGAGUCCAGAGUAGAAACAGGAAAGCAACCCUAGUGUCACGGUUAGGGUAGACUGCUGACAACGAACUUGGAGAUCUUUAUUCCCUCUAAGUCUUAACUAUCCAAGACCAUCAGUGAUCCAAGCUGGGAAGGUGUGUCUUCAGGAUCUUGACUUUCUGGCCCAUACCCUUAUAGUCUCCUGGAGAGCUCUGGAGCUUUGGGGACCUCAGGCUUGGAGCUGUUGAGGAAUGUCUAGGUAAAGGAAAGUUAACAGAUGUACAAAUUCUGAAGAGUUAAAGGCAAGGUGAUUUUACCCACACAUCAGCCCUUCCCAGGGAUGUUUACAUUUCUUAAGGGACAGGACCCUAAUUCACUGACCCUCAGGAAUGAGUCUUUUGGUGGAAAUAUUUCAGCUGUCUGGAUCCUACAAAUGGAUCCUCACUCAAGCUUGAUGAUGGACUGUGCAGGAGGAGGAGAGUAAGGGUGUGGGCAGGGCUGGGUGGUUUCAUGUAGGGGUAUUUGUGUUGGCUAUAUUCCAAAGUCAAAGUUAAAAAUCAAUUAAUUGGGCACAGUGGCUCACAUCAGUAAUCCCAGUACUUUGGGAGGCCGAGGUUGGAGGAUCUCUUCAGCCCAGGAGUUUGAGACCAGCCUGAGCAAUAUAAUGAGACCUUACCUCUACCAAAUAAAUAAAUAAAUAAAAAUUAGCUGGGCAUAGUAGCACACACCUCUGGUCCCAGCUACUUGGGAGGCUGAAGUGGGAGGCUUGUUUGAGCUCGGGAGGUCAAGGCUGCAGUGAGUCGUGACCUCGCCACUGCAUUCCAGCCUGGGCGACAGAGCAAGACGUUGUCUCAGAAAAAAUAAAUAAAAUAAUAUAAAAUAAACCAGACACAUUCAUGAUAUAAGUGGAA